AGAACUGAGAAGACUCAUGUGAACUGGGAGUAUCUAAAAAUCAAUUUUAAAUUUCAUAUUGUUUGUAAUUUAUGUGAAUGGCAGGAGAGUUGAAAAUUUAAUAACGAUGAGGUUAUGAAAUCAGAAUCAUUAUGGAGUAUUAUCAUAUACAUACUUAAAACACAAAAACUGUUGGGCUACGCAGACGAAUAUUAAACAAUAAUCCAUAGAUUAUAGCCCGUGGUGCGUCAGUAAAGAUGGCGUCUUUUAUUGUUUGUUGUUUGCAAUGCCCAAACAGUGUACCACAUUGUAGUCUACAUAUCUAUAUGAAUCCGCACGGCAGCAGCCUAUGCAGCCGUUUUCUCGCGUAUUUCUUUCUUUAUUUCGUCUUCUCUACCGGCCCUUCUUGAAUCGAGCUAAUCAUUGAACAGAAUUGUCGUGCUCUCGUCGCAAACCGAACUCAAACCUUUCUCUAUCCCUUUCACUCUGUAUCACAGUAUAUAUGUAUAUUUACCAUCCUCCACAAUAAAUCGUAUUAAAUCGAACAA